GGAAGUCCGGAGCGGCACCCGCCAGUCAGUCUCUGCGCACGCCUGUGCAACUGAGGCAUAACUUUCUUGGUGCGAUCAUUACAUGACUGUUUGAUACGAAGCAACUGAUUAUCCAGAUAGCUGUCUUUAAGCACUGAUACCUCACACCUCUUCCUUAACCCAGUAAGCUGAAUGGUUGACAACUGCUGAAAAUGGAGGCACAUGUACCUCAUACCUCUACAUAGCAGCGACUGUGAUCCAUAUUAAAGUGUUUCUGCUAAUGUACUUCUUACUGCACUGCAAAACCCUUGUGAGAUAUGAUGCAAUGGAAGGUAGUAUGGCUUGCGCCAAGAAAUUCUAAAAGGGGAUGAUUAAGAUGUGCAGACAGGAACAGCAGAAGCAUUCAACUAAGCUCCUCAGAUAGAGGUAUAAAAAAGACAAUUGGUUCCAGCGCUGUCUUAAAUUUCAACUGAUGAUUGCUUUGGAGGACCUCCAACCAGAUAUCCCGAGAGUGUAUGUAAAAUAAGAAGUUGGCAAAAAAUAGAGUACACUGUUUCAAAAAAUAAGAGUGUUGAAAAAAAUUAGGAGGACACUCACACUUUAGAGGCUUAAGUAUGACAUUGGAAAAUGUUGCACUGUUUUCCUGUGGUGGUUGUAUGAGCAACAUGGAAUAGUUGUGUGGUGCUUGGAACAUUGGUCUAAUUUCAAGGAACAAUGAAAAUAUUGGAAAAGUAUAUUGUGUGUAUUGUCUUUCAAAUAAAUAAAGUAACACUGAAACAGCAA